UCCUAUAUUUGUGCAUCUGGUUCUUCCUGCCUAAGUGCAGAACCUGGCAUUUGAUGGCGAGGACGACAAAGCAGACCAGACUCCUUUGACUGGGUGCACGAACAUGGAUCUAUGUGUGGAAACAGAAUGUGAGAAUUGCCGUCCCAGCAUUUCUAAGCUUUGGAUCAGGCCAAACCCCUCAACUGCCUCCUGAGACUGGAAUGAUCAUAGUCUCCUUCCUGAUCUUUAGGCAACAGUAGGAAUAUAUGACGAUCCCACAGGGAGCCUUACCAAGAGAGGCCACGAUCCCACAAUUCUCCUCCAUGAUACCCUUAUGCAGAGCUCUCUGGUCAGGAUCCAGCAACGCCCACUCCUCGUCUGUGAAAUGAACAGCAACAUCUUCA